AACUGAGUAUAAUGCCCGAUAGAACACUAUACCUGGAAUGGUUUGUGUUCCAAAUGAUUAUCGCCGUAGGAUGGGACUGCGGCCUAUCAGUUUGUUGGUGAGGUAAUGGCCCACCAAGACUAUUACAGGUACGGGCUCUGAGAGGAGUAGCCCGGAGAUGGGUACUGAGACACGGACCCAGGCCCUAUGGGGCGCAGCAGGCGAGAAAACUUUGCAAUGUGCGAAAGCACGACAAGGUUAAUCCGAGUGGUUUGUGCUAAACGAACCUUUUGACAGUCCUAGAAACACUGUUGAAUAAGGGGUGGGCAAGUUCUGGUGUCAGCCGCCGCGGUAAAACCAGCACCUCAAGUGGUCAGGAUGAUUAUUGGGCCUAAAGCAUCCGUAGCCGGCUCUGUAAGUUUUCGGUUAAAUCUGUACGCUCAACGUACAGGCUGCCGGGAAUACUGCAGAGCUAGGGAGUGGGAGAGGUAGACGGUACUCGGUAGGAAGGGGUAAAAUCCUUUGAUCUAUUGAUGACCACCUGUGGCGAAGGCGGUCUACCAGAACACGUCCGACGGUGAGGGAUGAAAGCUGGGGGAGCAAACCGGAUUAGAUACCCGGGUAGUCCCAGCUGUAAACUAUGCAAACUCAGUGAUGCAUUGGCUUGUGGCCAAUGCAGUGCUGCAGGGAAGCCGUUAAGUUUGCCGCCUGGGAAGUACGUACGCAAGUAUGAAACUUAAAGGAAUUGGCGGGGGAGCACCACAAGGGGUGAAGCCUGCGGUUC
rnacentral:rRNA from 1 species